rnacentral:rRNA from 1 species
UACGGAGGGUGCAAGCGUUAUCCGGAUUCACUGGGUUUAAAGGGUGCGUAGGCGGAUAGGUAAGUCCGUGGUGAAAUCCUGCAGCUUAACUGCAGAACUGCCAUGGAUACUAUUUAUCUUGAAUGUCGUGGAGGUUAGCAGAAUAUGUCAUGUAGCGGUGAAAUGCUUAGAUAUCGGGAGGAAUACCUAUGGCGAAAGCAGGCUACUGGACCGUCACUGACUCUGAUCUGCGAAAGCUAGGGGAGCAAACAGG